GACGAACGCUGGCGGCGUGCUUAACACAUGCAAGUCGAACGAUGAAGCCGGAGCUUGCUCCGGUGGAUUAGUGGCGAACGGGCGAGUAACACGUGAGCAAUCUGCCCUUGACUCUGGGAUAACUGCGGGAAACUGUAGCUAAUAUCGGAUACGACACCUUGGGGCAUCCCAGGGUGUGGAAAGAAUUCCGGUCAAGGAUGAGCCCGCGGCCUAUCAGCUAGUUGGUGGGGUAAUGGCUCACCAAGGCGACGACGGGUAGCCGGCCUGAGAGGGUGACCGGCCACACUGGAACUGAGACACGGUCCAGACUCCUACGGGAGGCAGCAGUGGGGAAUAUUGCACAAUGGGCGAAAGCCUGAUGCAGCAACGCCGCGUGAGGGAUGAAGGCCUUCGGGUUGUAAACCUCUUUUAGCAGGGAAGAAGCGAAAGUGACGGUACCUGCAGAAAAAGCACCGGCUAACUACGUGCCAGCCGCCGCGGUAA
rnacentral:rRNA from 1 species